rnacentral:rRNA from 1 species
GACGAACGCUGGCGGCGUGCCUAAUACAUGCAAGUAGAACGCUGAAGAGAGGAGCUUGCUCUUCUUGGAUGAGUUGCGAACGUGUGAGUAACGCGUAGGUAACCUGCCUGGUAUCGGGGGAUAACUAUUGGAAACGAUAUCUAAUACCGCAUAAAAUUGAUUAUUGCAUGAUGAUUAAUUGAAAGAUGCAACUGCAUCACUACCAGAUGGACCUGCGUUGUAUUAGCUAGUUGGUGAGGUAACGGCUCACCAAGGCGACGAUACAUAGCCGAACUGAGAGGGUGGUCGGCCAGACUGGGACUGAGACACGGCACAGACUCCUACGGGAGGCAGCAGUAGGGCAACUUCGGCAAUGGGGGGAAACCUGACCGAGCAACGCCGCGUGAGUGAAGAAGGUUUUCGGAUCGUAAAGCUCUGUUGUAAGAGAAGAAAGGGUGUGAGAGUGGAAAGUUCACACUGUGACGGUAUCUUACAAGAAAGGGACGGCUAACUACGUG